rnacentral:rRNA from 1 species
CAGUAGCCGCGGUAAUACGUAGGUGGCAAGCGUUGUCCGGAAUUAUUGGGCGUAAAGGGCUUGCAGGCGGCUUCUUAAGUCUGAUGUGAAAGCCCCCGGCUCAACCGGGGUGGGUCAUUGGAAACUGGGAAACUUGAGUGCAGAAGAGGAGAGUGGAAUUCCACGUGUAGCGGUGAAAUGCGUAGAGAUGUGGAGGAACACCAGUGGCGAAGGCGACUCUCUGGUCUGUAACUGACGCUGAGGAGCGAAAGCGUGGGGAGCGAACAGGAUUAGAUACCCCCGUAGUCCCUGUCUCUUAUAC